UCGCAAAGGCUGCUGGGAAAUGUAGUUCUUCCCUAGGGAAAGAAGGGAAUGGAAGCCCAUUCGUAGCAGCAGCAGCAGGUGUUGUCCAUCUGAUGAUAUUCCCGUUUUUUUUGGGAACUAAACUACAAAACGUUAGUUAUAUGAGCAACUGAACUGGAGGACUUUUCGCAUGACAUAGAACAUGAUGAUAUUCCUGGACUAGAAGGUUACGGUAUCCAUAGACUUUUCAAUGCCUGGAUCUUUUGAUGACCUAGAAGGUGAUGCUUUGAAUGACCAAGGACAUCAUGCUAUCCCCGGACUAGGACGUGAUAUAUCCAUAGACCUUGGGAUGACCCAAAAUGCUAUGGGAUCCAUUGACCUCCCAUCCGUAAAGUCGUCACGUUCCUGAAUGAGGUGGUGCCACCCCCAGGUGGUUAGAUGUCCUAGAACACAAUUGGAACUCAAUGACUGUUGAACGACCUAGAACAUUGCCAACCCAUGACGCUGUGCUCUUCGUGAACUAAAAGGUGGUACUUUCCCUAGACUUGGGUGACCUGGAACACCCCACAACCAUUGAAUAUCGACAUACAGGGACAUUGAGAUAUGCCUGAACUAGAAGGCGGUACUAUCCCUGCUUUUUUU